rnacentral:tRNA from 1 species
AGGGAUGUAGCGCAGCUUGGUAGCGCGUUUGUUUUGGGUACAAAAUGUCACGGGUUCCAAUUCUUUCAUCCCUA